UACGGGGGGGCGAAGCGUUGUUCGGAAUUACUGGGCGUAAAGGGCCAGUAGGCGGCCAACUAAGUCCGACGUGAAAUCCCAAGGCUUAACCUUGGAACUGCGUCGGAUACUGGAUGGCUUGAAUUCGGGAGAGGGAUGCAGAAUUCCAGGUGUAGCGGUGAAAUGCGUAGAUAUCUGGAGGAAUACCGGUGGCGAAGGCGGCAUCCUGGACCGACAUUGACGCUGAACGGCGAAAGCUAGGGGAGCAAACGGG
rnacentral:rRNA from 1 species